GAAAGACAAAGGUAACUCAUGUCAAAGCUUCGCCUUAAGGAGCCUAAAAUAUGAUAGGGAGAUAAAAGUAGCACACAGGUAACUGUCAUUUUAUAACUGUGAUUUUGAAUUCUUAAAAAAAGACAAAUCAGAUAAACCAAAGAAAUGGUAAACAAACCAUUACUUUUGUGUUCAUUGUCCAUCUUUAAAUUAUUUCUAGAAAUAUUAAUAUUUACAUUUUUAAAUUUCAUUCAUUACCUCUGGCCAAAAUAUAACUUGUUGGUCCCAGAAAAUUGCUCAUAGAUUGUGGAAAUGAAACAACCUUCCCAUUCAGAAUCUGUCAGUAACAACUCAGUGUGCUUUUCUUAUAGGAAUAAAAAGAGUAUCUCUCUGUUUCCAGGUUUACUUCUGAGGCAAUGGGAGAUAGACCACUGACAUAAGCCCGCAGCUAAUAGGAGUGUCAACUGGAAAAUCAGGAUGAAAAAUGCGUUUUUUGAAAGGAACUCCAAAUCCCAUCCUGCAAGUGAUUUGCAGGCAGACUCAAUUUGUUUCCUGUACCUGAGAUGCUUUCUUUCAAUCUCAGACUAUGAAAAGUGUUUUCAGAGUGCUGGAAGAGGCUAAAGAAAACUGAGUUCAAAAGAAACUGUAUCUGCUUAGGGUCUGGUGAGGACCUACCUGCUGGGCCAUGACAUGCCAGAGAGUAUUACAG
rnacentral:lncRNA from 1 species